rnacentral:rRNA from 1 species
CAGUCGCCGCGGUAAUACGUAGGGUGCGAGCGUUAAUCGGAAUUACUGGGCGUAGAGCGUGCGCAGGCGGUUGUGUAAGACAGGUGUGAAAUCCCCGGGCUUAACCUGGGAACUGCGCUUGUGACUGCACAGCUAGAGUAUGGCAGAGGGGGGUGGAAUUCCACGUGUAGCAGUGAAAUGCGUAGAGAUGUGGAGGAACACCGAUGGCGAAGGCAGCCCCCUGGGCCAAUACUGACGCUCAUGCACGAAAGCGUGGGGAACAAACAGGAUUAGAUACCCGAGUAGUCCCUGUCUCUUAUAC